CAUGUAUUGGAGCAUACAGGAUGUGGUCAGAGGACAACCUGUAGGAGUCAAGUCUCCCCCUCUGUCAUGUGGGUUCCAGGGAUUAAACUCAGAUCAUCAGGCUAGGUGCAGGCAAUCGCAAAGGCAAAAUCUUUCCCGUCUUACUCCAAGGACAGCCAAACACUUGUGACACAUAGAACUGUGACCUUUGCCUUAUGGGAGAAAUAUCAGGCUUUUGUUUCAAAGACAGAGUCGCACAGAACCUCCAGAUGUGACUGAUCCAAGGUAGAAAGCUUUGCAAGAGGUGACAUCAAGAGAAAACACCUGGCCCAGAAGAGACUCAUAGAGACCUCAUGACCCAGCAGGAAUGCAUCUGACUGCAGAAGAGAAUCACACUCUGUGAGAUGUGAACAAUGAAGAGGAGUCACUGGGUUCGAGGAUAGUCAUGGUUUCUUUCAUGUAACCCUCUCAGGAUGGGCAGGAUGAAGUGUCUAUUGGAGUUUCUUCUAUUGCAAAUGAUAGAUUAUACGGCCAAAAAACUUUAAGUUGGUGGUCCUCAA